CAAUGAUAUUACCGUAAUUAUUAUAUUUAAAUUUUAAAUUUUUUAUUUUAUAUUUAAAAUUUUAAAUUUAAAUAGAUAACUUUUAAAAUUAAAAAAAUUCAAAAUUAAAAUCUAUAUUUUUAAAUCUGAAAUUUAAAAUAAAAAAAUAUUAAAUUUAAAAUUUAAAUAAUUAAAAAUAAUAUUUUAAAUUUUAAAUUUUAAAUUUAAAGUGUAAAUUUUAAAAUUUUAAAUAAUAAAUAUUAAUUUUAAGAUUGCAAAUUAUACAUUUUUAAAAUUUCAAAUAUAAAAUGUCAAAUUUAAAAUUUAAACAAUUAAAAAUAAAAUUUAAAAUUUAAAAUUUAAAAAUAUUAAUAUUAAUUUUAAGAUUAUAAAUUAUAAAUUUUUAAAAUUUAUAAAUUAAAAUUAAAAUUUUAAAUUUAUAUUUAAAAAUUAAAUUAGGAUGGGAUUAACUUAUCCCACUAGGGAGGGUGGGGUUUGUUAACCGCACCCAUGGGGUCAACAAACUCUAACCUUGUUUGGUUGGGGGUUAAGGGGUGGAAUAACCCCUUAACCCCCAUUUUAUCCCCAAACACCCUAAAAAAUAGGUGGGGUUAGCUAACGCCACCUAACCCCACCUCAAAUAAAUUAUCCCGGGUUAGCUAACCCCAUCUAACCCAACCAAACUCUAACCAAACACUAUUUUCUAUUCAUAAUAACUCACUAUCUUUCUUAUCACACCUACUCCAACCAAUCAUUAUCCUUCUUUAUCAAUCAUUAUUCUCUUAUCCCACCGACUUCAACCAAACACUAUUUUUCAUUAUUCUAGACUAACUCCAACCUCCAACCAAACACAAAAAAAUUUUAACUUCACUUUAACCCUGAACUUAACUCUAUGCCUGGAAUAGCUACUUUUUUCUUAACCCCGAACCAAACGGACAAAUAUUUCCAUUUUG
rnacentral:lncRNA from 1 species